ensembl:lncRNA
CAGCUGUCUCCACUUUCCUGUGUAUUUAUUGUCUCAGUCUUGCCUUGUUCUUGGUUGUGUUCUCUCCUGCUGUGUCUUCCAUGUUUCUCUGGUAGCUUCCAAGUUUUUCUAGUUCUCAGUUUCUAGUUUUGAUUUUUUUUUUUUCCCAUCUACUCAAAGCGCUUUACAUUUCAAGGUAAAGACACUACAAUGAUAAAGAGAAAACCACAACAAUCAGACGACCCCCUGUGAGCGAGGACUUGGCAACAGCGGAAAGGAAAAACGCCAUUUUAACAGGAAGACUCCUCAGGCGCUGCAGACAUCAUCAGAAUGUCUGCCAACAGCAGCACGAGUGUCGUGCUGCCAUCAGGCCUGCAGGGGGACCCGAGGACGCGCGGGUACGAUGUCAGGUGGACUCAGAUCCCUCACCUGCUGCUGAACUGGAACCGGAGCACGUGCUCCCACGGACGCUGCUCGAUGCUCCCUGACGGCUCGCUUGAGUUCAGCCGACUUCAGACCCAAGACUCCGGAAGCUACACGCUGGAGGUGUUUGACAAGACUGGGUCGAGACUGCAGACCAAAGACUUCCUGCUGCAGGUGACAGACCACAGCAGCAGCCAUGUGGUGUCUUCAGUGUCCGUCUGCGUCGUCCUGCUGGUUCUGUUGCUCUUCUUCAUCGUGGUCUUCAUCCUGAGGAAGAGGAGGGUUCAGAGGAAGAUGACCACAGGUCAGAAGGAGGAGAAGGAGGAGAACAUUUAUGUGGUGAUGAAGGGUUGCCAAGGUAACAAGAACAAUGAAGAGGAGAAGGAGAAGAAACUGGAGAAAGAGGAAGAGCCCCUCUAUGUUCCCUGCAGUCCUACAGUUUCCUCCCAGCAUGAAGACAGUGUGUACGUGUGAGGACCAAUCAGAGCCCAGCGUGUCUGCUCUGUAUGGAAGCCUUUGAGAGACUUUAUUAAUUGGAGAUAAACUAUCUGAAUUUCAGGAGCAGGACCACGCCUCCAAACACGCCCCUUCCUGUUCUUACCUAUAUUUGACCCCCCAGCUCUACAACCCCCCCUUCUCAUUAGUACUUGGGGACGUCCCCUCUGAGCCUUCCCCAAACUGCGGCUCAGUUCGUGUUUAAGCCGUCUGCCUUGAUCUAAUAAAACUGCUGUCAAGCUAACACGAGGACGUGUGAAAGUGAUGACGUACACCAGUGUUUCCCAACAACACAGGUGUGCCGUGCCUUUCCCGUUGUUACUCUGCUCUGAAGAUGUUACCAUGGAAACGUGGACUAUAUCUCAAGUUAUUUGAUAAAAUGUGACUUUUCUGAAAGCAACAUGUUCAUAAAUAUAAAUAACUUUUAUUUUUCAAACAGUUUUGUUAAAAAUCACAUUCAGACUCACUGGACGAUUUAUCAGGUACACCAUGUUAAUACUCAGUGGAGUGAAUUUUGUGGAUUUUGCUUGUUUGUGGAUCAGAUUCAGCGCGCUGCUGGAAACCUUCCUCACAUCUUCUUCAGUAUCUUCUUCAUCCUGAAGUAUUUUGAUAUUUCUCUGUAAAGUCGUUUCCCUUCCUCUGUUUCUUUGUUAUUAAGGUUCUCUGGACAAAUGUUUCUGACAAUAAUUCAGAUUGACU